GCUGGGGGUGGUGGCACACAUCUGUAGUCCCAACUACUUGGGAGGCUGAGGUUGGAGGAGCACCCAAGCACAGGCUGUAGUGCCCUGUAUGAAUCGGGUGUCUGUACCAAGUUCAGCAUGAAUAUGAUGAUCUUUCAGGAGUGGGGAGCCACCAGGUGGCCUAAGGAGAGGGAAAUCAGCCCAGGUCAAAAAUGGAGCAGGUCAAAACUGUUAACGCUGAUCCGUAGUGAGAUAGUCCCUGUUAAUAGCCACUGCACUCCAGUCUGGGCAGUAUAGCGAGACCCCAUCUCU
rnacentral:SRP_RNA from 1 species